GACGAACGCUGGCGGCGUGCUUAACACAUGCAAGUCGAACGGAAAGGCCCUGCUUUUGUGGGGUGCUCGAGUGGCGAACGGGUGAGUAACACGUGAGUAACCUGCCCUUGACUUUGGGAUAACUUCAGGAAACUGGGGCUAAUACCGGAUAGGAGCUCCUGCUGCAUGGUGGGGGUUGGAAAGUUUCGGCGGUUGGGGAUGGACUCGCGGCUUAUCAGCUUGUUGGUGGGGUAGUGGCUUACCAAGGCUUUGACGGGUAGCCGGCCUGAGAGGGUGACCGGCCACAUUGGGACUGAGAUACGGCCCUGACUCCUACGGGAGGCAGCAGUGGGGAAUAUUGCACAAUGGGCGGAAGCCUGAUGCAGCAACGCCGCGUGCGGGAUGACGGCCUUCGGGUUGUAAACCGCUUUCGCCUGUGACGAAGCGUGAGUGACGGUAAUGGGUAAAGAAGCACCGGCUAACUACGUGCCAGCAGCCGCGGUGAUACGUAGGGUGCGAGCGUUGUCCGGAUUUAUUGGGCGUAAAGGGCUCGUAGGUGGUUGAUCGCGUCGGAAGUGUAAUCUUGGGGCUUAACCCUGAGCGUGCUUUCGAUACGGGUUGACUUGAGGAAGGUAGGGGGGAAUGGAAUUCCUGGUGGAGCGGUGGAAUGCGCAGAUAUCAGGAGGAACACCAGUGGCGAAGGCGGUUCUCUGGGCCUUUCCUGACGCUGAGGAGCGAAAGCGUGGGGAGCGAACAGGCUUAGAUACCCUGGUAGUCCACGCUGUAAACGGUGGGUACUAGGUGUGGGGUCCAUUCCACGGGUUCCGUGCCGUAGCUAACGCUUUAAGUACCCCGCCUGGGGAGUACGGCCGCAAGGCUAAAACUCAAAGGAAUUGACGGGGCCCCGCACAAGCGGCGGAGCAUGCGGAUUAAUUCGAUGCAACGCGUAGAACCUUACCUGGGUUUGACAUGGAUCGGGAGCGCUCAGAGAUGGGUGUGCCUCUUUUGGGGUCGGUUCACAGGUGGUGCAUGGCUGUCGUCAGCUCGUGUCGUGAGAUGUUGGGUUAAGUCCCGCAACGAGCGCAACCCUUGUUCACUGUUGCCAGCACGUUAUGGUGGGGACUCAGUGGAGACCGCCGGGGUCAACUCGGAGGAAGGUGGGGAUGACGUCAAGUCAUCAUGCCCCUUAUGUCCAGGGCUUCACGCAUGCUACAAUGGCUGGUACAGAGAGUGGCGAGCCUGUGAGGGUGAGCGAAUCUCGGAAAGCCGGUCUCAGUUCGGAUUGGGGUCUGCAACUCGACCUCAUGAAGUCGGAGUCGCUAGUAAUCGCAGAUCAGCAACGCUGCGGUGAAUACGUUCCCGGGGCUUGUACACACCGCCCGUCAAGUCAUGAAAGUUGGUAACACCCGAAGCCGGUGGCCUAACCGAUGUGGGGGAGCCGUCGAAGGUGGGACUGGUGAUUAGGACUAA
rnacentral:rRNA from 1 species